UGUUCUGUGGCUUAGUUGGCUAAAGCGUCAGUCUAGCAAAUACGGAGGCGUGAGUUCGAAUCCCACCAGAACGC
rnacentral:tRNA from 1 species